rnacentral:lncRNA from 10 species
CCUGUGUAUACCUGCCUUAAGGGCGGGGAUUCUGCCUCUGGCACUUAGUGCAGUACGAUGCACGUAGUGAGAGACCAGGAAAUUCAGCAACAGAAUCACUGACAGAACAGGUCUAGAAGGAGAUCAUCACAAACUAAACAGGACCCCAAUGGCCAUGAACAGCAGAACCCGCUUAACUGCUGCCUGAAACGUAUUCAAAGAGAUGAAAGUACAGAAGAGUUCUAGCCUAAAGCCCAACAGCAACCGUGGAGAGUCCAGGAACCAACUCAUCAGCCCUGUCAGAGCUCAUCAAAGAUGAGAUGUCUUCCAAUUGUGAAAUCAGCUCAGCACAGAAGAGAUGAGCGUGUGUACUACUUUCCAAAAGAGGAAGUGGAUUCAGAAAACUACUUAUUUUGAUGGGUUUUUUGCAGGUCUGACAAUCGUUGGCUCCACCUGGACCCACUAACCACUCCUGUGGCCCCACCAGAAUGACUGAGUGCAUAGGAGGACCAUUUCCCACACCCCUGUGAUUGCACCCCCAAACAAUCAGAGCAAGCACCCAUUGCCUAGCCAUCCCCACCCCUUAGCCCAAACUACCUUUGAAAAAUCCU